UCAACAGAAUGGAAUAUUCUCUUUGGAAAAAAUAAACUACUCUUUCUGGCAUAACCUUCUAUUUUUGGUGUUACCACCGUUACAUGGACAUCAUGUCUCAGUAACAGAGGUAUACUUAGAAGCAAUGUUAAGUUAAUGUCCAUUAAUGGCCAUUACGCACCAAAUUCCACUUCAUGCCUUAGAAUAUUUGCACAAGAUCAAUUGAUUACACUAAAGAAAAACAUUUUGCAUGUCAAAUUCUUUGCAAAUAAAAGCAAAUUAAAUUAGAAUUUAAACAAGGAAAAAUGUACAAAAUUAUUGACAAAUUAUAUUUAAAAUCAUACUACGAUAAUCCUCAAGUUUCCACUUCCGUCUACCUCUGGAAACAUUUACGUUUCUGCCUAAAUGGAAAAAACAAAACAGUGCUAUCUUAUGAUCUCCAAUUCUUUUUACUUUAAAAUAACUCCUUCAAGAUAUUACUUUCAAAUGUACAUACGACCGUUACAUGGACAUCAUGUCUCAGUAACAGAGGUAUACUUUGAAGCAUUGCUAAGUUAAGGUCCAUUAAUGGCCAUUAAACACCAAAUUCCACUUCAUGCCUUAGAAUAUUUGCACAAGAUCAAUUGAUUAUACUAAAAAACAUUUUUCAUGUCAAAUUCUUUGCAAAUAAAAGCAAUUUAAAUUAGAGUUUAAACAAGGAAAAAUGUACAAAAUUAUUGAUAAAUUUAUAUUUAAAAUAAUACUAAGGUAAUCCUCAAGGUUCCACUUCCGUCUAUCUCUGGAAACAAAUGUUUCUGUCUAAAGCGGAAAAAAACAAAAGAGUGCUAGCUUAUGAUCUCCAAAUCUUUAUUACUUUAAAAUAUCUCCUUCACGGUAUUACUUUCAAAUGUACAUACCUCCGUUACAUGGACAUCAUGUCCUUGUAAUGAUCAUAUUGAAUAGUAUUACAUGUACUUGCCAUUCUUUUAGUAUCAACACACUAAUGCGAGUUAACUCAUCUUACUCAAGUGUAGAAAUACAACAUCUACAGGCAAGCUUCUAAAAUGCAUCAAUGAACAGGUUACAAGUUUAUGAACUUCAAGAUGAUCGGUGACCCAAUGACAACUGUGUGGAAGAGGACUCUGUCAAUGUCACAAAAUAGAUAGAGGUAGAAUUGUGCCUUGCCAUCAGGCCAGGAGUACAGGUCACCAGAUUGACACUUCAUGUACUGAAGAUAUACAUUUUUACCUUCAACAGAG